CCCUUAGAUGUUCUGGGCUGCACGCGCGCUACACUGAUACUUUCAGCGAGUCCACCACCUUGCCUGGGAGGGUGGGGUAACCUCUGGAAAGUGCAUCGUGAUGGGGAUCGAUUAUUGUAAUUAUUAAUCUUCAACGAGGAAUUCCUAGUAAACGCAAGUCAUCAGCUUGCAUUGAUUACGUCCCUGCCCUUUGUACACACCGCCCGUCGCACCUACCGAUUGAAUGGUCCGGUGAAAUCUCGGGACGGCGGCUUGGUCGCUUGCGUCCGACUGCUGAAACUUGAUUAAACCAUAUCAUUUAGAGGAAGGUGAAGUCGUAACA
rnacentral:rRNA from 1 species